rnacentral:rRNA from 1 species
AACGAACGCUGGCGGCAGGCUUAACACAUGCAAGUCGAACGGAUCCUUCGGGAUUAGUGGCAGACGGGUGAGUAACGCGUGGGAACGUACCCUUUGCUACGGAAUAACACAGGGAAACUUGAGCUAAUACCGGAAGAGCCCUACGGGGGCAAGAUUUAGCGGCCAAGGAUGGGCCCGCGUUGGAUUAGCUAGUUGGGGGGGUAAUCGCCGACCAAGGCGACGAUCCAUAGCUGGGCUGAGAGGCUGAUCCGCGACUCUGGGAGUGGGACACGGCCCAGACUCCUACGCGAGGCAGCAGUGGGGAAUAUUGGACAAUGGGCGCAAGCCUGAUCCAGCCAUGCCGCGUGAGUGAUGAAGGUCUUAGGAUUGUAAAGCUCUUUCACCGGUGAAGAUAAUGACGGUAGCCGGAGAAGAAGCCCCGGCUAACUUCGUG